rnacentral:rRNA from 1 species
AUUGAACGCUGGCGGCAGGCCUAACACAUGCAAGUCGGGCGAGCGGCGGACGGGUGAGUAAUGUAUGGGGAUCUGCCUGAUGGCGGGGGUUCACUACUGGAAACGGUAGCUAAUACCGCAUACCAUCAGAUGAACCCAUCUGGGAUUCGCUAGUAGGUGAGGUAACGGCUUACCUAGGCGACGAUCCCUCGCUGGUCUGAGAGGAUGAUCAGACAUAUUGGGACUGAGACACGGCCACGACGCCUACGGGAGGGAGAAGUGGGGGAUGUGGCAAAAUGGGCGAAAGCCUGAUGCAGCGACGCCGCGUGGGUGAUGAAGGCUUUAGGGUUGUAAACCUCUGUCGAUAUCGAACGGGUAGGUGGAGAAGAAGCGCCGGCUAACUACGUGCCAGCAGCCGCGGUAAUUC